CGUAGGGUCCGAGCGUUGUCCGGAAUUAUUGGGCGUAAAGGGCUCGUAGGCGGUUGGUCACGUCGGGAGUGAAAACUCAGGGCUCAACCCUGAGCGUGCUUCCGAUACGGGCCGACUAGAGGUAUGCAGGGGAGAACGGAAUUCCUGGUGUAGCGGUGGAAUGCGCAGAUAUCAGGAGGAACACCGGUGGCGAAGGCGGUUCUCUGGGCAUUACCUGACGCUGAGGAGCGAAAGCAUGGGGAGCGAACAGGAUUAGAUACCCUGGUAGUCCAUGCCGUAAACGUUGGGCGCUAGGUGUGGGGUCCUUCCACGGACUCCGUGCCGCAGCUAACGCAUUAAGCGCCCCGCCUGGGGAGUACGGCCGCAAGGCUA
rnacentral:rRNA from 1 species